UCUCAUCAGAACUUGGGGCUUUGCUACUGCUAGAGGGAUACAGCUCGUCGUUGUCGUCACCAGGUAGUGCGAGUCGUCUGCACUGCUGGCUCGCGCGUCGCAUAGCCAUGCUUGGCCGCCUGGUGACCCUCCAAGAUCAACCCAACACCCUGUAGGUAAGGCAUUCGGCAUUAUGCCCUUGAGAAUAUACGUGCUUGUCCAUUAUUUUUUUGCCCAGAUUUUGGAGGUACUGAGUUUGAUGAACUGGGCAAAGCAGGAGGUCAUUGCACUGUUACUGCUUUGAUUCUAUGAUUGUCACCACUACAUUCUAUGAUUGUCACCACUACAUUCUAUGAUUGUCACUAGUGGAUUUAAAAUUCUAUGCCAGCAGCAUCUCCACGCGUUGUGCACCCAUGCACCCAUGGAGGAGAUGAAAACCGUGUUGAGGACACCAGGCCAUGGAUCCAGCAUCUCCGACCUUUUCUUUCUUAUUCUAUUUGGAUAUAAUCGCCAUGAACCAGACGGAUACAAAUGCUGGUUGUUCUUUUUCUUUUUUUAGUUUGACUGAUGCAAAUGGAUUAAUGACACUGAUUAUCAUUGGAGUAAGAGAAACAUUUGAAAGAAAUUGUGAUGGUGACAUGUUGUUC